GGCUCUUUUAGCUGUUAACUUUUGGAUCAACUCUAGAUUGAUUUUAGUUGGCAGAUUGUUUUCUCCAAAUUAAUAGUUAACUCACAUAAGCACUUUUUGCUCUCCCUUCCAUUCUCUCCUACCCAAGCUUUGAAACCAUGAGCAUUUAAAUAAAUACGUCUGGCUAGAAAGAUUUUUCAGACUGUAGAGAAAGUGGAUUCUCCACUAAGGGGAAAACUGCAAGCCUCUUUUCAUUUAUGUCACUGCAGCCCUUGUGGGAAAUAUCGGACUUCUCUGAAGAGGCAAUGGAAUCACCAUCAAAACACACUUCUGCAUGUGUCCAUGAGGGAGUUUCCAGAAAGGCUGAACCGAAGAAGGAAGGUCUGUCCAGAAUGUGAAGAGCACUGUUCCACGGGAUGGGGUCUGAAUCUGAACAACAAGUAGAAAGUGAACAGAGCAUCAGCACUCAUCUCUGACGGCCAAAGCAGUGUGACCCACCACCCCAUACUUCUGCCACCACACCUUCGCUACUAUGAUGAACUGUACCCUCAAACCAUGGGACAAAAUAAACCCUUCUUUGUUUUUGACAGAUACUUUGUCACAGCAACAAUAAAAGGAAACCCUUUCCAGCACUAAGGGGAAUUUGA